rnacentral:rRNA from 1 species
UGGGGAAUUUUGGACAAUGGGCGAAAGCCUGAUCCAGCAAUGCCGCGUGUGUGAAGAAGGCCUUCGGGUUGUAAAGCACUUUUGUCCGGAAAGAAAUCCUUGGCUCUAAUACAGUCGGGGGAUGACGGUACCGGAAGAAUAAGCACCGGCUAACUACGUGCCAGCAGCCGCGGUAAUACGUAGGGUGCAAGCGUUAAUCGGAAUUACUGGGCGUAAAGCGUGCGCAGGCGGUUUGCUAAGACCGAUGUGAAAUCCCCGGGCUCAACCUGGGAACUGCAUUGGUGACUGGCAGGCUAGAGUAUGGCAGAGGGGGGUAGAAUUCCACGUGUAGCAGUGAAAUGCGUAGAGAUGUGGAGGAAUACCGAUGGCGAAGGCAGCCCCCUGGGCCAAUACUGACGCUCAUGCACGAAAGCGUGGGGAGCAAACAGGGUUAGAUACCCUGGUAGUCCACGCCCUAAACGAUGUCAACUAGUUGUUGGGGAUUCAUUUCCUUAGUAACGUAGCUAACGCGUGAAGUUGACCGCCUGGGGAGUACGGUCGCAAGAUUAAAACUUAAAGGAAUUGACGGGGUCAUAGCUGUUUCCU